ensembl:piRNA 21ur-478 ncRNA
UUCACAGAUCAUUCAGCGUGA